UACGAAGGGGGCGAGCGUUGUUCGGAUUUACUGGGCGUAAAGGGCGCGCAGGCGGCUUAUUUUUGUCAGGCGUGAAAGCCCCGGGCUUAACCUGGGAACUGCGUUUGAUACGGAUGGGCUAGAGUUCGGGAGAGGAGCGUGGAAUUCCCAGUGUAGAGGUGAAAUUCGUAGAUAUUGGGAAGAACACCAGUGGCGAAGGCGGCUCACUGGCCCGGUACUGACGCUGAGGGUGCGAAAGCGUGGGGAGCAAACAGGG
rnacentral:rRNA from 1 species